CGUUGCAGCUUCUACAGCCAUCUGACAAUUUAUUGGGAACCAGAUCAGCUCCCUGCUUAGGCUGCAACUCCUUGAGCCUAAGCUCUAGUUGCUGUUAUAGUCGGGAAACCUGAUCAGGACUGGGAAGAUCAGAAAAAGACUCCAUGGAAGGAAUGGUAAGUGAGCUAAGGCUUAUCAAAGUAGUUAAACCGGCAGUAGGAAGGAAGAGUAUUCAGUGGAUGUUACAUGCUUAAAAGCAUAAAGACUUGAAUGAACUAGGACCAUAAUGGGAAAUUCAGGUAACUCAAUAUAGCUGAAAUCUACAGCAAAGAGGGACAGGGCAAUAAAUAUAGCAGGUGAAGCAAACAUGAACAGAUUCUGAAGAACUGUUUUGGUAAACCAAGUGAGAAAUCACGACAAGGACUUGGUAAUCAAUAGUACAGGGCAGAAGAUGGAAAGGAAGAAGCUACAGAUGACUCCCAGGCUUCUAACUUGGGUGACCGGGAGAUAGUGGUAAAAUUCACUAAGUAAUAUAUAAGGAGAGGCAGGAUUAGUGGAAAGUGUUAUAAAUUCAAUUUGGGAGAUGUUAAGUGUAAAGGACUUAUGGGAUUCUCAGUUGGAUAUAUCUAGUAGGUCUUUUGAUAUUCAGGUCGGGAAAAGGAUCAGGGCUAAAGAUGUAGAUUUGGGAGUCAUCAGGGUAUAGGUAAUAAAUGAAGCCAAGGGAAUGCAUGAAAUAAGUCACGGAGAACUUAAACGGGCGCACUUAAUAAAAAGAAGGGAAAAGUGAAGAAAUAUGUAAGGUGACUGGAGAGCAAGAAUGGUGUGGCUGAAGUCAAAGCUGGAGAGCAUGAAGAGGUCAUGGGAUAAUUAAUAGUAGCAAAUGUUGCAGAGACAGAAGGUAACACUAAGAACUGAAAAGUGUUAAUUAGAUUUAACAAUACGUAGGUCUCUAGUGACCAUAGGAAUAAUCAUUUCAGAGAAGAGCUGGAAGCCAAAAAAAGAUGCUGAAAAAGAGAUGAGAAGGAAAAAGUAAUGGUAGUGAGGGCAGACACCUCUUUCUAAAAGCUUGUAUGUGAAAAGCAGAGAAGGUAGGCAGGGAAGAGGGACCAGGCUUUGAUGUGGUUUUAUCUGAGUGGUUUUUGUGUUUGCAUAUGUGUGCGCAUGUACAUGUGCGUACGGUUUUUGAAGAAGGAAAACACUUGGACGUAUUUAUAUUUGUAUGGAAAAUAACCUAAGGAUUGUGUGGAAGUCAUAUUCAGUUUUUCCUCCAUCUGGGCACAUGGUAGGCUCUCAUUUUUUUCCACCCUUUGAAAUUAGAGCUGUGGGACUUGUUAUUGCUGAUAAAAUGUAAGUGGAUGUGACCUUGUCACUUCUAGGUGUAAACUAGAGCCAGUGUAAAUUUUCUACCUUUCUUUUUCCAGUCUCAGUCAUCUGAAAAGUAGGUGUCAAGAUAAGUCUCCUGUUAGCCUGUCCCCCCGCAAGACUGUAAUAAACAGAGCCCCCCAGGUGGCCCACAUUGAAUUUGGAACAUGAGCUAAAGAUCAGGAACUUAGUUCAUGUUAUUUUUCCAUCUCCUGCAUUCUACACUGCACCUCA